GGGGAUUUAGCUCAGUGGUAGGGCGCUUGCCUAGCAAGUGCAAGACCCUGGGUUCGGUCCCCAGCUCCG
rnacentral:tRNA from 1 species